AUCUAUUUGAGGAACAUUUUGGAACUUCAAGUCCAUAGAAGGCUAUUUGAGGAACCUUUUGUAACUUUCAUGCUCACAUUCGAGGAAAUUCGGUUCCAAUUCCCUUUGGAACUUUUGUUCAGCGAAAUUCGAACUUUGGAGGUACGAGUUUAAGUAGAUAUGAGACUUUUGGUUGCUUGGGAGUACUUACUGAACGAUAUUUGUUGGUGGACAGUUGUUUCGACCAAAGGGUUUCGGCGCCAGCCGUCGUGUCUCCUUAGACCGGAUCGGAACCGAUUGCAACCGCUUAGCCGGAGGACUGGAACAGUCAGUACAGUUACCUCUUCAAAUUGGUUGGAUGAAAGAUUGCCCUAAAAAAGUUUGUUAUGUUGUUAUUUAAAAUUAAAUUGAUUUUGAAAGACCUACCUUGGAGUCCACUAUCGUUUGCCCUUUCAUAGCUGUCGAAACUUUCCUACGCCGGAUCUCACCGUGCUGUCUGGGGUUGCCCGGCAGGAAGAUUCCGCUGAAAUAAAUAGGUCUGACUGGUUGUUGCAAAAACUUUUCCGCCAAACAGAAGCUGUGUCGACUACAUGACGAAUAAAUACUUAGAUUCAAAAAAAAAAAAAUCAUCUAAAUCAAUGAAUUUUUACAUUGAUUCUGCGUCAAAAAAUAAAUUCUUUGAAUUCAAAUUUAAUAUUUUGAUUUUAAAACUUGGAACUUUGCUUUAAACGAAAAAUAGUUCGGUUCAAUAUAAAAUUUACUCAAAUCAAGGAAAUUGGAUUUUGUUUCAAUGUACACAAGGUUUUUGAAUCAAAGAUGUGUAUUUUUAAUUUCAAUGGUACUACUUUUCGCUGCGUGAUGUUGAUGCAUUUUCGUUGGAACGUGAAGUUAUGCCUAUUCAAAAUGCGGUUAAUUUUUCUAUUCGUGUAGGGCCAAUAGGCGUAACUGAGUUGACCGUGUAUGACAAAACGGCCUAAUUAGUUUUUGCGUGUGAGACCAAUGGGCGUAACUUCAAAACCAAAACAAAAACGGCCGAUCAAUUGGGCGAAACUUGCAGGCGUAACUGAAAUCGAAAACAUAAAAAGGCGAAACUCGAAAAUCUCGGAAAUUUAGUGAAAAAAGUUAAAGAUUUUGAUAACUAACGAACAAUAAGUGAAUAUAAUGCACUUUUUUUUUAUUUUGUUGAACAAAAAGUGGUCGAUUUUUCAAAUAGGAUUUGAUUAGAUGUUCCGAAAUUUCCAACGCGAUUUUCUGGUUUGAGCUAACUGCUAGUUUCGCCCUUUUUAAAUGUUACGCUAGAAUUUUCACGCAUUUGUUUAAUUUUAUUUUUCGAAACCGAAAAUUAAGUUCUCUAAAAAAAUAUAAUCCCUUUCGAAACCGUGUCAAAUUUCAAAAAUUCUGAGUUGUUUUGACUCAGACCGUUAAGACGCUCCUUAAUAAUGCCUGAUUAAAAACAACUCAGAAUUCGCGAAAACCCCUAGAAUUCAUUUUUGAGUUUUGCCGUCCUAAUCAAAAUUUGAGUUUUCCCAGUUUUGGCGCAUUUUGAAUUGUUUUCCUUCAAAUCUGAGUCAAGGAGAAUUAGAGUGCGGAUUACUGCGACUGCAAAACAUUGCACGAAAUCCAAUUUUCAAUGAAAGGGAUAAUAUGCUUAUAGAUGAAUGGGGAAAAUUUCAUUAUCAAAUUUAAAAAAACUUGUACGUACAUUUAGAUGACUGUUUGAUGUCACUUGACUUAGAAAUAACAUAAAACAUCUGGCAUUGCCAUUUUUUUUAGAUCUCUGUGGGAUUCAUAUGGAAUAUUUAAGAAUUUCACAACUCGCUGAAAAUCACAUGUUAAUCAUUUGAAUAUUCAUAAUUUUUUUUUUUUUUUGUUUCGAUUAUAGUCGUUUUACCAUCUUUAUGGCAUUCGCGACUUUAUCAACGUUGCAGUUGGCGGAUCGUUAUUGAAAAACUAUCCGGUACAACUGUGUUCGAUGUUUACUCUUGGGCUCGAACUCACGGACAUCGGCUCAGGAGACAACAGACUUGCCAACUGAGCUAUAUCAUAAGCCCGAAUAUUCAUAAUGCAUAUUAGACUAUGUUUCGGAAAGCCGACAAAGUCCCACAAAGUCAAUUUUUGGCAAAAAAUCUUAAACUAUGGUCCCCUUACAAUUAUUAGUCACUUUACGUUUCUUUCUUCCCACUAAUUUUUCGUUUAUUCGGGUGUUAGUAGACCAAAUAUCUAGCUUUGCGUGAAUUUUAGUCAUUAAAUACUUCCUCUUUCAGUUCAAGUACCGUCAAACGGGGCAUCAUGUAACAGCGGGGUUAGAUGCAACAUUUGAUUACUACAGCCCUUUUUAAAUUUUUAAUUUUAUAUAAUGCAAUCAAGUUAUCUUUUAAUGCCUACAAAAUGAUGAUGAAAUAAUUUUUCACAUCUUAAGUUAGUAUUUUAAAGUUUUUCAUUUUCAUUCAAAUUUUUAAAAAAUCUCCAAUACAUGUACAAAUUUUAACAUUUUUCGAUGCCGUAAAAUGCUUUCCCCAGUAUGACGGAUUGGCUUAAUGAUUUUUUCUGGUUUAAUUUUCUGUAACUGUCGGUAUAAAAAUAUUUUUUGAGCAUUCUCCAUUUUUUUUAAAUUGAUAUUUUUAUAAUUCAAUUACUAGUCUGGGGUAACAUGCAACAAAAUGUAAAUCGAAGAGACACCUUGACAAUCUCGUUUCCAUGUGCUGGAAUAUGAUUGUUUUGCAUCACGCGUUUAUCAGCAUUGAAAUUUCAUUCAUCCAAACAUUUAAUUCUAUGAUUUCAGCUAUUAGAAUUUUUUUUAGUAUUUUUUACCUCUAAAUGUAUGCAGCAUCCUUAUGUUCACAAAAAAUUCAAAAAUUAGUUUCAACAGCUCCUAAAUUUACUGCAAUUGGUGUUUUUAUGCGUAAUGGUUUUUAUGGCAUCAAAAAUUUAUCAAAAAUAAUACAUUUAUAUACUUUUUCAUUAGAUUUUUCAUUUAAAACUAAGUUUGUUGCAAGUUACCCCUUUUUCUUAGUAUAGUGAAAAUCGAAUGUUUUUUGAAAAUUAUUAAUAACUGAAAAAUCAAAAAUUUUUCUCACUAGGCCAAUUUGAUAUCCCAUCAACCUUAAAACUUUUUAUGCAUAAAGGUCAUUAUAAUCUGUGGACGUGGGUUAUUUAGAAGCCAUUUUUGUUGAAAAGUGUUGCAUGUUGCCCCAGUUGACGGUAUGUUAUUAUUUAACAUUUUGUUAAAAAAGGACAUAAUUUAUCGAAACAAUUAGGCGUUUUUUUAAAACGCAUAAAUGGGUCAAAAUUGUAGCCCGUACGUAACAAUUGUUAGUCACAUAGAAGUCCAUGACAACGAUUUGUUUCUGGAAAACAUUUAGGAGCAUUCUUUGCUAGUGUAUGCUAGUAGGUAUUGAUUUUAUUUCACGAAUUCAAAACAAUCUAAAUCCAAACAAAAAUCUUGUUUAUAACACCCUCGACACUAGCAUGCGGACUGUAAAAUUAACUUUCAAUGUUCAAUCAGCACCACUAUUCAGCAGAUCACUUAUGCGACCUUUACCACCGUGGGGGAGCAAUUUAGUUUCACCCGGUAAAGAACUUUCGGAUCGAUUCUAAGCGUGGCUUGUUUGUUUGUUGUUUGAUAGAGACUUAUGUAUAUUUAACCAAAGUAUAUUAGAAUGUAUUGUUCUCAUCUGUUCCGGCUUGAUGUUAUUAUCUUUUGAUUCAUCUUCCAAAAAAAACGGCUAGAUACGAACCAAAGCGAACAGCAUCAUCAUCAAUUAAUCACUUUGACGCACAUUGUGUACACCUUAGGGCAUCCGCAGCAAUCGCGAGCAAAGUGAAAAUGCUCUCGAGUUUAAUCACUUUUAUACCGCACCGGGGGUUAGUAUGAGGGUGAGCAAAAUAGGGCCGUUGCCGUCGGGACCGACUAAGGGCAUCCGCAGCAAUCGCGAGCAAAGUGAAAAUGCUCACGAGUUUAAUCACUUCCAUACCGCACCGGGGGUUAGUAUGAAGGUGAGCAAAAUAGGGCCGUUGCCGUCGGGACCGACAAAAUCACCAAAUUUGCUCACUAGAAAGGGGCGAGAUCAAACAUGCACUGAAAAAAUUCUACCGUUUUAAGUAUAUAGAAUUAAACAAAAGCCCUUCAAGUCCGACGAUUGCUUUCUGAAAAUUUUGAUUGUGACAUUUUACUGACUCCCACAACCUUGAGUGAAGCUUCGAGGAUUUUUCUCGGAGUAAUAAUAAUCGAUACCAAUGCGCUGUGCAGGAUUUUUGUAUCCAACCGUAUGGGUGGCAUUCCAUUACUGUCCCUACCAAUUCGGCUUUCGAAACGAGGUCUCUCAAUUAGUUUCCAACUAAUGGGACCCAGUUUUUCGGAGAAGCAACUAUUUCAGUCAGCACGUUGGAUAGAAAAAGAAGUUGAAGAUUUAAGCUGAACUAAACAAACGACGUCGCAGCGUGUGGAUGUUUGUUGAUAUUCAUUUUAAGAAAAAAUGUGUAUGAGAUUAAAAUUGUGGAUGGAUUUUUUUUUUUGGAUAACCAGUUGAAUUCGCAAUUUCGUUACAUUUUUUCGGGUUUAUCCAGGAAUUGAACGAGAAAGUGCAAUUGCUGGUUCUGAUGGUGAGUUAUUUAUUUUGAAUGUUAUAUUGUUUAGGACUUUUUUCUACCUAUGAAUUUUGAUAACAUUUUUUCCUUUCUCACUCAAUUUCCGAUAAACAAACUCGAAGCAUCGUAUUUUAUUACCAAAAAUGAUCAUGUAACUAAGAAGAGCCGUUUGGUGGACGACUCCGAAAAUUUACUCGGUCCGUAUUAAUUUAAGAUUAAGAUUUUCUUCAAAACUUUUCUCAGUGCAAUGCUUAAUUUAAAAAUAAUUAUGCUACCGCCCGGUGCGCGAAAGAGUGUGUAUCCCAAAACCGGUCCGCUGAAAUGAGCAAAACCGGGCCGCGUAUACUCACUUAUUGGUGCGUUUGCUCUAAAUCACCAAAUUUGCUCACAAGAAAGGGGCGAGAGCAAACAUGCACUGAAAAAAUUCUACCGUUUAAUCCUGAGUAAACAAACUAUAUUCAGCGUGUAGAGUUUGUUGACAUUCAGUUCAGUUCAAUUUGUCACGGACCGACCGGACGAACACGGGAGCAGUUUAAGCGCUAAAUAAGGUGAAUACUGGGCCGGGACAACCAGCACCACAUCGUCAACAGCAGCAGCGGUAACAUAAUUCUGAUGAGAACUUCCUCACUCACGAGUGCGACCACAGACACCAGCGGCUACCGAUCAUAUCGCCACCACUGCCAAAUCCAACUUCAGCCGGAAGUGUUCCCUCACAUCACUACCCUUUUUCCGAUGGAUGAGCACUGAGCACAUAACAGUAUGUACACUCCAGGUAAAAUACAUAAGUGACGCAUUCAAAAAGAACUUCCGUCAUGCCAUCGAAUCGUGGCCCGUGGAAACAGUCGAACGAAAUUCUGCGGCUGAAACGGCUCUAUCAGGAACAAAAAGCUUUGCAGGCACGGCUUCAGCGGUCAUCGGACUCCCGGGUCAACGGUUCAGGGCCGUGUGAGUCUGGACGGGGAUCGUUUUCCGGAAUUAGAAACAAAGAAUCCAUUUCCAGAAGUGACUAUGCCAGCAGACACAAAUGGAAGUUGAUCUGGUGAACAUUUUUAACUGGCCAGUAAGAGCACACCAAAAAAGUGCUGUCGAUGCCACAAUUGCGGCCAAACCUCUUGAGCCAUGUUUUCACAUUGAUCCACACCAAAAACUGAACGUGAACCCAAUGCUAGAGGUUACAGAACCACUACCAAGGCUCAGUAGAAAUUUGCUCAUUCAUUCGAGCCAGAGGUUUGCAUCGGAAUCAAGAACUGUUGGUUUGGACAUUUCAAUUCUAUCCAUCAUCCGGCCCGACAAACACCGUAGCAGAAAUUUGCAUGGAUUCGAGGUACAGUAAUCUGGACUGGCAAAGCCAAUGACGGUGAAGAUUCUAUAUAAAACUGCUCCGGACUCGGAUCGGAUCGGCUCGAGUGUUUUUUUUUUUAUAUUAUGGACCGUUCGAACGAAUUCUCAGCAGCAGCUGAGAAACCAUAUGCAAACAAAAUGCGCACUUUCUGGCUGGGAUGUUUCGCAAACCAAACCUGCCGACCAAGCUGGACCCACUCAAGCCUCCCCCGCUUCCGAGCGGUGCCUCGGUCAAGAACACCGACAGCAGCAGCAGCUCACCGAUACAGCAAAAGUAAAAAAAAACCUCCGUCAUCGCCACAGGCAACACUAGCUUCCAUCGCAAAAGCUGAUCGUCAAGAACCUGGAACGAAUGGUCUACAACAAAGAUUCCGAAGAUAUACUGGGGCUUAUCCUGCGACGCGAGUGACGUUACUUUAGAAAUUUCACAACGUUUUGCUGGCUUAAAUAGCCUCUCUAGCCUCGAAAUUUUCGUUCGAAUAAGCUACAAACAAACGUAUGCAAAAGCAUUGGGAAGUGAUUUGACAUCUACCAAACAAAUCGAUUGUUAUUGGUCUUCAGAGCUCAUCGAUACAAAAAUUUAUUUUCGAAUGCAUUUUCUGGAGUCAGGAUGAAGACGUGAAAAUUCGUGAGUCACCUCACUCGAGUCGCAGAAUAAGCCCCACUAUAUGAUCAGCGGAUAGAGUUCGUAAAAAUAAUAAUAAUAGGAGGGAGCAUUAUAUUGCCUAAAUAGCUAAAGUUUGUGUCCAUUUCAACGAAUGCGAUACUUUAAAAAUAAAAUAAUAUGAUAACGCAAAUUGUUUGCUUUUGUUCAGUACCCACUGGAUGGCCUUUCAAUGGAAUUGUGGAAAAAAAAAUGGUUUAUCGGAUGAAUAAAUAAUCAACAUUUUUUAUA